rnacentral:rRNA from 1 species
AUACGAAGGGAGCUAGCGUUGUUCGGAAUUACUGGGCGUAAAGCGCACGUAGGUGGACUGGUCAGUUGAGGGUGAAAUCCCAGGGCUCAACCCUGGAACUGCCUUCAAUACUGCCAGCCUUGAGUCCGAGAGAGGUGAGUGGAAUUCCUAGUGUAGAGGUGAAAUUCGUAGAUAUUAGGAAGAACACCAGUGGCGAAGGCGGCUCACUGGCUCGGUACUGACGCUGCGGUGCGAAAGCGUGGGGAGCAAACAGGAUUAGAAACCCCUGUAGUCC